UGCCAGGAAAAUCCCAAGGACAGAGGAGCCUGGCGGACUAUAGUCCAUGGGGUCACAAAGAGUAGGACACAACUGAGCUCAUACACACACCGGACUAUUACUUCUCUUCCUCCUGAGGCACUGGUUCCUAGAAAACAGUCCCCCCAGAUUCUUCAUCAAAAUUUACUUUUCUGAUAUCCCCCUGCCUCCAACGUAUUAAUGUAAGUAAACGCAGAGAUCUAAUAGGUUGUCUUCCUCUGGGAAAACCUGUUUAUCCAGAAAUGGUGAAGGGGAUUAUUGGGGGCAUACAUGUGUACAGAGGUGUUUUUUUUGUUUUGUUUUGUUUUUUUCUUUUCUUUUCUGUAAUCCUGCAAAGCAAAACACUCAAAGAAAGGUUGGCAACUUUUCCCCUGGAGUUUCACCUUGUCUUAUAGAAAGUACACAGGGCCUGGAAACAAAUUAAUUUUGAUCAACUUUGGUCUUGCUUUCUAGACCCUGUCAAAGACACUAACAAGCAGAGAAACAGCCAGAUCAGGGGAAAGUUUGGAGGUGGAUGGGGUGGAAAGGGCCUUAUAAUCCUCAAUCAGAAUUGUGGCUCUCUAGGCAAUGGAAUAUUAAAUCCCUGAAAUUGUAGUAUAAAAUGUUGUUUUAUGAAUUCUCUUAUGUCUUUAAACAACUUCAGAAAGGGGGAAAAGGUAGUUUCAUCUUAGAAUAUAUCUUGAUUGCUCUGGGCUCAUGCUAUGGUAAGUUUUAAAUCAAGGAGAACUGCUUAGUGUAUUUGUUUUGGAGUCUCAAAAAAAAAGCAGGGUAGGGGGCGGGGGGAGAAAGAAGUGUGCUGCGUAGCUCAGACUGACAAUCAGAACAUGAUAAUACAGAGCCCUUCCAAGUGGAGGUAAAAUCCCCACAAAAAAGACUCUGUCUGCUUGUGGCCCAGUUCUUUCUGGAGUUCCCACCUCCACCCCACCCUAACUCCUUUUUAUAUAAACUUCUAGAGGGACAUCUUUGGCAUCCUGGGAAAGCCCUGUCCAUCUGCCAAAUACAGCUUCUCUUCUGAUCUUUUCUUAUGAUACUGUUUUCAAGGCUGACACAUUUCUCUUCAUAGUUACCCUUUCUUUCCUUCCCUUUUGCCAGUUUUUAGUCCAGUAUGCCAAUUGUCCUGCACUUCCAUGACCUCAGACCUUAAACAUUUUCACCAACAGUGGAGAAUUCUGUAGAGCACUUUCUGAAAAACUCGGUCUCUAAUCUCCUCCCUUCCCCCAGCCAGCUCACAGGGGCAGUGAUUUCCUCGAAGAAUUUCAACAAAUUAGUUCUCCACGACUUCCCUUCCUAAAAUGAUGUUAGCUGUCUUUAAUCAAGCUUGCUAUUCCAACUGUUCUUGAUUUGAUACCUUCAAGUCGUUACAGAGUCCUUCUCUUGAACUGAAGUUAAACUGACUGGCUUAUCUUCUGAUUUCCAGCAUAGCCACAGACACUGAUAAUAUUUCAGAGAGGGGGUAUGGGUGAUGAAGAGGAAAAGGAUUCAUUGCAUCUUUUAACUUAUCCUACUCUUUUCAUGGACACUUUUUUUUUAAUAAGUCCAAAAAUAAGUUUUUAAAAUCAGAAUCCCAGAGACAGGCAUCUCAAAAUCAGUCCUGGUGCUUUAAAAAUGUUAGUACUCCUUUUACAUGUUUGAACAAAUGUUUAAAGUAAGGCCACCUUCAUUAUCUGGUGCCAAUGGCAUGAAUUUCCUACACUAAUCAUGGCUGGUAUUUACUUGGUGUUUGUAGUGCCAAAUCUCAACUUCUGAAGUCAAGAGGUUAAGUUAUAAAUACCCACUAUUAGAUAGCUGUAAAAUAUUUGCCUGAAGGCUUUGAUAGUUUAAAGCUUUCCAUUAUACGUAUAUACAGAUAUGUAUAUUCUUGUAGCUAUGUAUAUUUUACGAUACAUAUGUAUCUCCACAACACCUCAUGUGUGGUCACGAUAUCCAUCACAUAAACUUCUGCAUUUUCCAAACCCUGGGAUACAGUUUCAAACCAUAUAUAAACUGACUUUAUACUGCCCAUAUGCACUGCAUUGGGCCCUACCACACGGAUGGCAUCAUUAUUUCCACACAGUCUGAUUCACAGUCCAACCCAGGAGAGGGUCUCAAGGAAAAGAUGUUUUAGGACCAGGUUUCCAACUUGAAACUCUCCAUGGGAAUUUCCAGAAUAACUCUGAUACAUCAAGGAGGGAGAAAAAAGUGAAGAAGGACUGAAAACCAGAACCAAAACCAAACAAAAGGAGAAGCAUUAAAAAGUUAUGUGAUGAAGUGGGAUGCUAUAAAGUUUUUAUUAUGACUUGUUUGGAAAGAGCUUGCUUAACAAAUGCAGUCAUCCUCUAUUCAAAUGCAAAGCAAUAAAACAUUUUAUAGUCCACUAUCACAUGCCAUAAUGUGUAGGGAAUCGUUAAGCCCAAUCAGAUCUUAGAAAAGAACGCUGUGUUUGCUCUUCUAGGAAAGUUUGCCUUUAAAAGAGAGAGGGUGGGGAAGUGACGGAAGAAAUAGUUACAGAGAUGGAGAAUUGUCUGGAAAUUAUAUCAACUGAGGAAUGGGUGCAGAAAGAGGAGCUAUCUUUUUACCUGGAAGAGAGAACACUGGUGGGGGAAAUGAGAGCUGUCUACACAUAUUGUAAGGGCAAUUUUGCAGACAUGUUAUUAAUUUUAGAGUUAUGAUGUUAAGUUAUAAAGGACAGAACUAGAUCCAGUUGAUAAACAUUGGGGUGAAGGGAGGGGGAUAGAUUUGACUCAAUAAAUAAUCUUCUGACAUGAUAGCUUUUCACAAAGGGAUGAUCUGCCUUGGGAAUUAUUGAGUUCCCCGUGUGUAGAAGAUUAAGCAGAGGCUCAGUUAGCAUCCAAUAGGGAUGUCAUACAGGUUCCUGCAGCAGAUGGACUCUGGAUGAGUUCACCUAUAUGGUACCUCCCCAGUCUAGAUGUCUGUGAUCCUAAGAUAUGCAUAGAAUUCCAAAUUGGUGUUUGGAGCUAUUUCGUGUGCUUGCGUGCUCCUCCAUAGAUCUGAGUAUGCAUCGAAAUAGGAUUUUCAUGAGAAAAAUUUUUUUAGUAUAAAUUUAUUCUCAUUGGUUAGUGUUGCCUAUGAAAAAAAGGGGUUUCUUUUUUAAAGUGAGAAAUGUCCUCAAUAAAGUCUUUUCUGACCUCAGAUAUGGAACGUGGAGUUUUUCUAUUGUUCAUUCAUAACCCUUUUGUCAAAUGUUUUCACACUGGGAAGCAUGAUAUGUUGAAAGGCUGUGGGGAAAUUCCAAAAGGUUUAAAGAAAUCAGAGCUGUCAAGUUCUGAACAGAAAUUUGAUGUAAAGUAUAUUAGUUGAUUCUUUUCCUUCCACAUUAUCACCCUUAUUCCUGUUUUUUUUUUUUUUUCCAAAUCACACAUCUGCCAAAAACCCCCUUUCCUUUUGACUCACCCGCCUUCAUUUUCACCUCCUGUGUCCUCUUACAUUCAGUUCUUGCCUCUCAUAGCAUAUUUUCUUUCUGAGGUAAAACAAAGGAAACCUAUUCCUUUAGCUCUCUCCUUAAUAGGAGAGACCAAAUGGGCUCUCAGAAGGGGUAGUGAAUGAGAAAGUUGGAGAAUUGCUGAGCUAGUCUCAUUGUCUCACUCCUUGUUUAUGCUCAAACUUGCCAAAAAUUGCCCAGGAACAGACUUCCUGCUCCAUCAUUUAAAAUGACUCUCUCUCUCUCUUCUACUUUCUUGCCAAACUUACUUCAUGAUACAAGAGACUGAGAUGGAAGAGGGCAAGGUAAUAAGCUCAGGAUGAAUUUUAUCCUUAUUAAGUACCUUUCAUUCCUCAGAAUCCCUGAAGGCCUGACAAUCUAUAUUUCAUGCCCUUCAACCUCACCGCAGAAAGUUGGAGUCUGCUGCGAAGGGCAUGCACAAUAAAAGCCGGGGUAAACCCUCUUCAAGCCCGAUCAUCACUUCCAUCAUGCAUUAGCAUUUCUGUGACACCCUGUAUUGGUCAAUGUUAUAUUACUCAGUCUAGACAGGAGGGAAAGGGGUCUUCCUGUAAAUGGUAUUUCCACACAUUUUCCUUCUCUUUACUUGCCUUCCUUCUCAGGUUCCCUCUUUGGGUGCUAUAUUUUCCCUCUCACAGAGAAGUCUUCUUUUUAAAUCCUUCAGAAUUCAUCUCAGGAAGUUUAUGAGGGAAGCAUUUACCUCACAAAGCAGGAGGUACAGAGUGAACAUUUUCUUUUUAAGUUUUUCAUUAAAUAGAAACGUGUUAUGAAAUAAAAUAUUAAAUGUGAAUAGCACGUGACCCUACCUUAAAGGAAAAGAUAGCUCAUUCACCAAGCAGAGGAAAGACGGUCUUAACCACACCAGUCUACCAUUAGUUGUGAAAACAUUAAAAUAGCUGAUCCAUGAAGUGUGUGCUUAGUAGGUAUCACCUGUUUUACAUUUACUAUCUCAUUUAUUUCCCACAACAACCUUAUGAGGUGACACUGUAUUAUUUUCAUCAUGAAAGAGAAAAAUGAAGCUUGGAGAAAUUAAUCAAGACGUGUGCAAGUCACGCCAAUUUUUUAAGGAAUGUGGAUCCAUGGAUUUCUGACUUCAAAAUCUUUCCCCCGAACCACCAUUUUCCAUCCUGCCUCAGGCAUUACUUCCAGGAGGAACAGGAAGAUAGAGGCCAUUUUCAUUUUGAGUGGAUCUUCCUGGCUGCCUCCAUCUUGACUUAGGGUCGAUGCAGUCUUUCUUUUAUUGUGACUUUGGGGUGAACCCUGAGCACUGGGAAUUCUCCAUUAGUGGGGAACUCCUGGUUGCAUGGAGACUGGGUAAAGAAAGAAAGGCUGUUUGAUACUGCGCCCCCUUGUUUCUCUGCCUCUGGAGAAGGUGUGCUGGCUCCCAACCAGCUUUCCACACUCAGAGACUUAAAUCCUCUAAAGACUCCUUCUGGGAAGGCCUUGGCACCAGGACUCGGUGGGUACGCCCGAGCUGGGCCUUCACAGAGGAUGUUCCUGAGAGAUUGCAACUGUUCCUGAGACCAAGAACUCAUUUCAGUGAUUCUUUCUGUCUAAGAGUUUCUUAGGGAAGGAAGCCAGGCUCAACCCUCUGAAUUUGGAGUUGGCAGCUGUUAGCACUGCUCUGUCACAGUGGACAUUUGUCAUUCUUUCUGGUUGCCCAGCAAGUAUUUAAACUCCUCACCCGUCCUGGCAAACGUCCCCACCUUAAGAUUCUUGGUGGGAGGCCAUGUUAUGAAGCAGCAAAGAAACUGAGAAUGCUGUCUAUUCAUUGUUCCCCAAAUUUCUCUACAGUGAGGGCCCAAACAUGUGACCCGGGCUUCUGCAAUCAGACACAUCCAUCACAGAUUGAGAAUCCAGAAUUCAUGAUGCAAGGAGUUUGGAUGGUGAGGAAGACUCUGGCAGUGGCCGUAGCUGCAGGGUGACCAAGGCGCUAUGCCAGCAGGGGGUGGGAAUGCCAGAGGCAGCGUCCAGUUCCCAGAGGUGGCAGCCUAAGGCGUGCCAGCUGCAGAGUCUGGGGUCACACAUCACUGCACCGUCCUGCCUGGAGCAGUCCCACAGUUUGAUUCUGGGCACUGUUUCUGGCUGUGGAGUUGAGAAUCAUGUACUCUAAGUUACCUGGCAAAGCCAGGAGCCAGUCUAAAGCCUUUUAAUAAAUUCUUCUCCUA